UAAAUAAUUUUGAUGAAUGUAAGAAUACAAAACUAUGACAUGCGAAUAAGACCCACACAUAGCCUAAAACUUCCCACAAUCACACUUAUUUCUCUCAAGUCCUUCUUUGAAAUGAUCAAUCAGUCGCAUCUCUCUUGGUUUAAUUUUUUUCUUGCACCUUGAAAAAUAGUUGUUGGUUGAAUCGCAUGACUUGGUGGAUGUUGGACUUAGCAACUUUAUCUUCAAACAAUCUUCUAUAUGUAUCUAAUCAUACACUACAAAAAAAUCAGCAGUUAUCCACAUUCCCAUUGAUAAUGACUAAAAAUCAAAUUUUGUCACGGUUUCAUUUCUCUUCUCUACUCAUCUUACACCGGACAUCUCAUGACCCAAUCACAAGCACUCACAACUCAGUCACUAGCAAUGACGUUACGUGACCCAGCCAUUGCCAAGAACUCACGAGCUGCUCUCUUUCGUUCUCUCCGAUAAAAACUUCAAAUCUCUUUUGAUUUUAAUUUUUUAGGUUUAGUUGUUUAUGUGAUGUGAGUACAUUUGACAAAAAAAAAAUUCAAUAGAAUGAUGUAAUACAUUUUUAGAUUAUUUAUGUGAUGUAAUACUUUUUUAGAUUAUUUAUGUGAUGUAAUACUUUUUUAGAUUAUUUAUGUGAUGUAAUACCUUUUUUUAUAAAAAAAUUAGUUUGAUAAUAAUCAUUUUGAUAGUUUAGUUUGAUAAUAACCAUUUUGAUAGUGAUUAGUAGAUGUAGAGUUGAUAAUAACCAUUUUAGGUUUAGAAGUUUAUGUGAUUGUUUAUGUGAUGUAGAGUUGUUUAUGUGAUGUAGAGUUGUUUAUGUGAUUGUUUUUUCUUUCACUAAACUUAUAAUAAUGGGGUGAUUCUUAACAAUGUGACACUCAAGUGUUUAGGAAAUGUAAGGAUUUUGAAGGAGCAUAGAAGGUGUUUGAUGGAAUGCUUCAAAAGAGAGCUUAUGAUAAUGUGGUGGUUCUUAACAAUGUGACACUCAAGUGUUUAGAAAAUGUAAGAAUUUUGAAGGAGCACACAAGGUGUUUGAUGAAAUGCUUCAAAGAGAGGUAAAGCCAAAUAACAUUACAUUUACUACUAUGAUUAAUUGUGCUACAAUGACUGCUUUAAAAUAUGAUUAAGUGACGUAAUGUCUUGUUUUUUUCUUUUACUAAGCUUAUGAUAAUGGGGUGGUUCUUAACAACGUGACACUCAAGUGUUUAGAAAAUGUAAGGAUCUUGAAGGAGCACAUAAGGUGUUUGAUGAAAUACUUCAAAGAGGGACAUUGCAGUUCGGAAGCUUCCCGCCCUUGUUUAGAGACACUGCAAUUCAAAAGUUAACGCAAAUGAUAUUUUUCAUUCCAAUCAUUUUCUUUAGUCUUUUCUGUUUUCUUUGAUCUUUCUUCUACAUUUCUUUUCUAACCCAUAUAUAUAUGUCUUUUAGGAGUUUUUACACUUAGAUCGAUACUUUAAGUCACUUGCAAAUAUCAUGUUUUAUUUCUUUACAUAGUGAUUAAUACUAUUAAAAUGAUACUCAUUCAUUAGUGUUAGUUAGUAAACAUUUGCUUACAUUAUGCUUCGACUUGGCAGGUUCUAAUUCUCAUAAUUAACGAGUAAAGUUCACCUUGAUUUUUGCUCUACAAAUGGAAGGAUUAUGUUUUUUGUUGUUUGCAUGCAAAUGGAAGAAAUAUGCUGCUAUUUGGACUACUAAUGGAAGAAAUGUGAUGUUUAGUGGAUUAUUUUGUUGUUGCUCUAGACUAUUUUGAUGUCGACAAUAAUUUUUGUAUGCUUCAUUAGUUUAUGUAUCAGAUUUUAGAAUGUUUGACUACUAGUUUAAGUUUUGUUGUUGGUAUAAACUACUUUAUACUUGUAUAUUAAUGAUGGUUUUAGUAUGUUAAUUAGUUAUUGUUGCUA